rnacentral:rRNA from 1 species
UACGUAGGGGGCAAGCGUUGUCCGGAUUUAUUGGGCGUAAAGGGCGCGUAGGCGGCGCAACAAGUCACUUGUGAAAUCUCCGGGCUUAACCCGGAGCGGUCAAGUGAUACUGUCGUGCUAGAGUGCGGAAGGGGCUACUGGAAUUCCCGGUGUAGCGGUGAAAUGCGCAGAGAUCGGGAGGAACACCCGUAGCGAAGGCGGCACUCUGGGCCGGUACUGACGCUGAGGAGCGAAAGCGUGGGGAGCAAACAGG